GGGCCUCAGGCCUGAGUUCCCUAAGGAGCUGGGUUGCUUUCAGAGCUGUAUUUAAGGCAAUGAGGAAGAUGGCUUUGAUGGCUUCCAGGAGGGUGGGUGUUCUCUCCCGCCUUUCAUCUUCAAGAUUUCUGCCCGUGGGUUUGGCAGAGAGAAUGGGGAAGAGCUUUGAGAGCCCAGGGUCAUCCUGGGUUGACGGUGGUUUUGCAAUCAGAAGCUGGAAGAAAGAUGUGUGAAUCAAGAGGGUUAACACUUGACCAGCCCACUGUCGCCUAACGACGACGCACUGGGACCUGUGUAUUCCUUCAGUUCACACAUGCCGUCUGGGAGGGAAGUUCACUUGUCCUCACCUUACGCCAGAGGAAACUGAGGCUGGGGAAAGGAUUUGUAGACUCUGACAUUUGAACGUGUCCCUGAAGGAUUACAGCCUCAGCGGAAAAGUCAGACAGGGCUGGUCCCAGCCCUCACGGAGCCUGCAGUCCAGGGAGGAACGCCUAUCCUCUCCUGACCUGACCUACCCUACCCUACCCUGGGGACACUUGCCAAAUCUCCGCAGGGCAGUUGUCCCCUGGCCCUCGCCUACAGCGAAGAAACAAGAAUGAAUGAAAUAAGGGUGAGUGAGCUGAAGAGACAGAGGGCGGUGGCAUGAGGGGGCCUGGAUUUCACCAGUCUUGGUGGCCCCCAGUCAGGACAGGGACCGCGGGUGGCUGAGUCCAGCCUGGUCUCUUAGGUGACGUCAAGGGCCAACUAGGGUUUUGAGAACCAACACUCCUGGAACAGUGGAAACCAAGGCGGGCAGCUGCGGGCAUGGGACGAAGCCAAGAAGCGUGGCCACCGAGAUCCUCAGGACCUGGGAGGCCCGCAAAUUACCUUUUGCUCUGUUCUCUGUACCACACGACAAAGACCCCCUCAGGCCGACCAGGAAGGGCAGACUGUCGCGCCUGCCUCCCGAAGGAAGGAAUGGACCAGACAGGAAGCCAUCUUUCUGGGGUGACUAAUUCACAGGCUUCCUUUGCUGAAUUCCGGAUCAGCUCUUGCUGCGCCCCCCCCCCCACCCCCCACCGUGUCCUUUCUCUCGCCCCAACAUCACACAAAAGGCAUGUGAAGCGUACAGAACCAGGAGGCAGCCAUCUGCUUUCCACUGGAUGUUAAAGCAGCACAAACAGAAAGCUCACCAACGAACCCUCAGUAUCGUGGUGGCUGCCCCGGAGUGGGACUGUCCCAGAGUGGGCAAGGCCGGGAAACGGAGUACGGCGUGGAUUUGGACACAGGCCAGCUCCUCCGCUGUUUACGUUCCUGUGCUUAUGGACUUCUCACGGGUCGUGGGCACCUCUGGGAAGCCAAAGAAAGCUACAGACCCCUCUUCUGCACGCUUCUUUUGCAAAUCGUUUGAGGAAGGUUUUGGACCAUUGGGGCUCAACUGUGGGCUGCUAGAGGUUCCUGGAAAGCAAAUGUUAACUUGUGUGGUCUACUGAGGGAGCUGAAAUGUCCAUGUGCCGCGAUUAUUGCCAUUAAAGGUCAUCAUGAUAGGGGCGCCUGGGUGGCUCAGUCGGUUGAGCGACCGACUUCGGCUCAGGUCAUGAUCUCGCGGUCCGGGAGUUCGAGCCCCGCAUCAGGCUCUGGGCUGAUGGCUCAGAGCCUGGAGCCUG